rnacentral:rRNA from 1 species
UCGACGAUGAUGCCCAGCUUGCUGGGCGGAUUAGUGGCGAACGGGUGAGUAAUACGUGAGUAACCUGCCCUUGACUCUGGGAUAAGCCUGGGAAACUGGGUCUAAUACUGGAUACUACUUCGCACCGCAUGGUGGGUGGUGGAAAGGGUUUUACUGGUUUUGGAUGGGCUCACGGCCUAUCAGCUUGUUGGUGGGGUAAUGGCUCACCAAGGCGACGACGGGUAGCCGGCCUGAGAGGGUGACCGGCCACACUGGGACUGAGACACGGCCCAGACUCCUACGGGAGGCAGCAGUGGGGAAUAUUGCACAAUGGGCGGAAGCCUGAUGCAGCGACGCCGCGUGAGGGAUGACGGCCUUCGGGUUGUAAACCUCUUUCAGUAGGGAAGAAGCGAGAGUGACGGUACCUGCAGAAGAAGCGCCGGCUAACUACGUGCCAGCAGCCGCGGUAAUACGUAGGGCGCAAGCGUUGUCCGGAAUUAUUGGGCGUAAAGAGCUCGUAGGCGGUUUGUCGCGUCUGCUGUGAAAGCCCGGGGCUCAACCCCGGGUCUGCAGUGGGUACGGGCAGACUAGAGUGCAGUAGGGGAGACUGGAAUUCCUGGUGUAGCGGUGAAAUG